AUUGAACGCUGGCGGCAUGCUUUACACAUGCAAGUCGAGCGGCAGCGCGGGGGCAACCCUGGCGGCGAGCGGCGAACGGGUGAGUAAUGCAUCGGAACGUAUCCUGUAGUGGGGAAUAACUCACCGAAAGGUGAGCUAAUACCGCAUAAGCUCUGAGGAGGAAAGCGGGGGACCGAAAGGCCUCGCGCUGCAGGAGCGGCCGAUGUCCGAUUGGCUAGUUGGUGAGGUAAAGGCCCACCAAGGCGACGAUCGGUAGCUGGUCUGAGAGGAUGAUCAGCCACACUGGGACUGAGACACGGCCCAGACUCCUACGGGAGGCAGCAGUGGGGAAUUUUGGACAAUGGGGGAAACCCUGAUCCAGCCAUGCCGCGUGAGUGAAGAAGGCCUUCGGUUGUAAAGCUCUUUCGGACGGAACGAAAUUGCUUGGACUAAUACUCUGAGUAGAU
rnacentral:rRNA from 1 species